rnacentral:tRNA from 15 species
CGGAAUGUAGCGCAGCCCGGUAGCGCACUUGACUGGGGGUCAAGGGGUCGUCGGUUCGAAUCCGGCCAUUCCGACCA